GCGGUCAACAUUUAAAUGAAAUUAUCUUCAAAAAGUAAAUGUCAUGAACCAAUCUAACGUUUCAAAUAAAGAACCGAUGAGAUUUUGCAAAUUUUAUGCGUUUUUUUUUUAAAAAAAGUUAUCAAGCUCUUAAAAAAUCACCCGAUAUAAGUGAAAUUUUAAACGCGUUUUUCUCGAAACGACAUUUUUCAAAAUUGCUGGCGUCAUAACUCAACGAAAAAUUUACCGAUCGACUUCAAAUUAAAACUGACUACUCAUUCUGCCGGAAUCACGCCAGCAGUUGGGGCACUUUUUUUGGCGCCUCCGAAGACAGCCGAUAACUCCGUUAUUUUUCAACAUUUUUGUAAAAAAAAAAAUCUUUAAAUAUAGCUGAAAAUAUACCUUAUUACGUUCAGAGAAGUUCAAAAUA